AGAAAAUGGAAGGGUGGAGGGAAUGGGUCAAACUCUUGUGGUUCUUGAGCUGGCAAGGCAGCGCAGAUACUGUUGACCUCAUUCUAAUGCAUACUGUUGAUUUUGUGGUUGGAGACCAUGUGAAGUCGAGAGACAGCGUCACCUUGAGGCAAUGAUUUUCAGCAGCACGACCCAACAUCUACAGGUGAGGCUCUCUGUGAGACAGAUGAUUGGAUGUGAGGUUCUAGCUCCAAGACAUCCUUCUAGACACCA